rnacentral:rRNA from 1 species
UACAGAGGUGGCAAGCGUUGUUCGGAAUUACUGGGCGUAAAGGGCGCGUAGGCGGUCUUGUCAGUCCCUUGUGAAAUCCCCCGGCUCAACUGGGGAACUGCAAGGGAAACAGCAGGGCUUGAGUUCGGGAGAGGGAAGCGGAAUUCCGGGUGUAGCGGUGAAAUGCGUAGAUAAUCCGGAGGAACACCGGUGGCGAAGGCGGCUCCUGGACCGAUACUGACGCUGAGGCGCGAAAGCUAGGGGAGCAAACGGG